GCCCGUGUAGCCCAAUGGUUAAGGCGUUAGACUUCUAAUCUGAAGAUUGUGGGUUCGACUCCCAUCAUGGGUG
rfam:Nadsonia fulvescens var. elongata DSM 6958 unplaced genomic scaffold NADFTscaffold_1, whole genome shotgun sequence.